AUUGAACGCUGGCGGCAGGCCUAACACAUGCAAGUCGAGCGGUAGAGAGAAGCUUGCUUCUCUUGAGAGCGGCGGACGGGUGAGUAAUGCCUAGGAAUCUGCCUGAUAGUGGGGGAUAACGUCCGGAAACGGACGCUAAUACCGCAUACGUCCUACGGGGGAAAGUGGGGGCUCUUCGGACCUCACGCUAUCAGAUGAGCCUAGGUCGGAUUAGCUAGUUGGUGGGGUAAAGGCUCACCAAGGCGACGAUCCGUAACUGGUCUGAGAGGAUGAUCAGUCACACUGGAACUGAGACACGGUCCAGACUGCUACGGGAGGCAGCAGUGGGGAAUAUUGGACAAUGGGCGAAAGCCUGAUCCAGCCAUGCCGCGUGUGUGGAGAAGGUCUUCGGAUUGUAAAGCACUUUAAGUUGGGAGGAAGGGUCGUUACCUAAUACGUGACGAUUUUGACGUUACCGACAGAAUGAGCACCGGCUAACUCUGUGCCAGCAGCCGCAGUAAAAC
rnacentral:rRNA from 1 species